UACAGAGGGGGCAAGCGUUGUUCGGAAUCACUGGGCGUAAAGGGUGCGUAGGCGGGUCUUUAAGUCAGGGGUGAAAUCCUGGAGCUCAACUCCAGAACUGCCUUUGAUACUGAGGAUCUUGAGUUCGGGAGAGGUGAGUGGAACUGCGAGUGUAGAGGUGAAAUUCGUAGAUAUUCGCAAGAACACCAGUGGCGAAGGCGGCUCACUGGCCCGAUACUGACGCUGAGGCGCGAAAGCGUGGGGAGCAAACAGG
rnacentral:rRNA from 1 species